UCUGGUUGAUCCUGCCAGACCUGACUGCUAUCGGGAUACGACUAAGCCAUGCAAGUUGAAUGGUUCUCGUAACCAUAGCGUACUGCUCAGUAACACGUAGAUAACCUACCCUAAGGUUGGGGAUAAUCCCGGGAAACUGGGCAUAAUCCCCAAUAGAUAAGCUGUACUGGAAUGUCUCCUUAUCCAAACCUCCGGGGCCUUAGGAUGGGUCUGCGGCGGAUUAUGUAGUAGGUGGGGUAGCGGCCCACCUAGCCUUUGAUCCGUACCGGACAUGAGAGUGUGUGCCGGGAGAUGGCCACUGAGACAAGGGGCCAGGCCCUACGGGGUGCAGCAGGCGCGAAAACUCUAAAUGCCCGAAAGGGUGAUAGGGGAAUCCCGAGUGCUUCCUUAGCCGGAAGCUUUUCCCGAGCGUAAUGUUCUCGGGGAAUAAGGGGAGGGCAAGGCUGGUGCCAGCCGCCGCGGUAAAGCCAGCUCCCCGAGUGGUCAGGAUGAUUAUUGGGCCUAAGCGUCCGUAGCCGGCCGUGUAAGUCUUUGGUGAAAGGUCGGGUCUUAAGCCCGAAUUUGCUAGGGAUACUGCGCGACUUGGGACCGGAAGAGGCAAAUGGUACGUUGAGGGUAGGGGUGAAAUCCUGUAAUCCCCAACGGACCACCGGUGGCGAAGGCGAUUUGCUGGGACGGAUCCGACGGUGAGGGACGAAACCCAGGGGAGCGAGCGGGAUUAGAUACCCCGGUAGUCCUGGGUGUAAACGAUGCGCACUAGGUGUUGGCGAAGCUACGAGCUCCGUCGGUGCCGAAGCGAAGGCGUUAAGUGCGCCGCCUGGGGAGUACGGUCGCAAGACUGAAACUUAAAGGAAUUGACGGGGGAGCACCACCAGGGGAGGAGCCUGCGGUUCAAUUGGACCCAACGCCGGAAAACUUACCGGAGUCGACAGCAUGAUGAUGGCCAGGCUGAAGACCUUGCUUGAAGCGCUGAGAGGAGGUGCAUGGCCGUCGCCAGCUCGUACCGUGAGGCGUCCUCUUAAGUGAGGCAACGAGCGAGACCCUCAUCCACAGUUGCCAGCACAAGAUGGUAUCUUGGUGGGCACACUGCGGAGACUGCCCGCGAAAAGUGGGAGGAAGGUGAGGGCCACGGCAGGUCAGUAUGCCCCGAAAACUCCGGGCCACACGCGGGCUACAAUGGCUGGGACAGAAGGCCCCGACCUUGAAAGAGGAAGGAAAUCCUUAAACCCAGUCUCAGUUGGGAUUGAGGGCUGCAACCCGCCCUCAUGAACGUGGAUUCCCUAGUAAUCGCGUGUCAUCUAUCGCGCGAUGAAUACGUCCCUGCUCCUUGUACACACCGCCCGUCGUUGCACUCGAGUUGGGUUUGCCUGAGGCUGCAUUUUCCUUCGGGAAGGCGUAGACGAAGGUGAGUUCGAUAAGAGGGCAAAAGUCGUAACAAGGUA
rnacentral:rRNA from 1 species